AUUGAACGCUGGCGGCAGGCCUAACACAUGCAAGUCGGGCGGAUGAAGGGAGCUUGCUCCUGGAUUCAGCGGCGGACGGGUGAGUAAUGCCUAGGAAUCUGCCUGGUAGUGGGGGAUAACGUCCGGAAACGGGCGCUAAUACCGCAUACGUCCUGAGGGAGAAAGUGGGGGAUCUUCGGACCUCACGCUAUCAGAUGAGCCUAGGUCGGAUUAGCUAGUUGGUGGGGUAAAGGCCUACCAAGGCGACGAUCCGUAACUGGUCUGAGAGGAUGAUCAGUCACACUGGAACUGAGACACGGUCCAGACUCCUACGGGAGGCAGCAGUGGGGAAUAUUGGACAAUGGGCGAAAGCCUGAUCCAGCCAUGCCGCGUGUGUGAAGAAGGUCUUCGGAUUGUAAAGCACUUUAAGUUGGGAGGAAGGGCAGUAAGUUAAUACCUUGCUGUUUUGACGUUUCCAACAGAAUAAGCACCGGCUAACUUCGUG
rnacentral:rRNA from 1 species